rnacentral:rRNA from 1 species
UACAGAGGGUGCGAGCGUUACUCGGAAUUACUGGGCGUAAAGCGUGCGUAGACGGUAAUGUAAGUCAGAUGUGAAAGCCCCGGGCUCAACCUGGGAAUUGCAUUUGAGACUGCAUUGCUUGGGUGCGGAAGAGGGAAGCGGAAUUUCCGGUGUAGCGGUGAAAUGCGUAGAUAUCGGAAGGAACACCAGUGGCGAAAGCGGCGCACUGGGCCACAACUGACGCUGAGGCGCGAAAGCUAGGGGAGCAAACAGG